GGACAAUUAGCUCAGUUGGUUAGAGCGUUCGCUUCACACGCGAGAGGUCGUAGGUUCGAAUCCUACAUUGUCCACCA
rnacentral:tRNA from 7 species